rnacentral:rRNA from 2 species
CAGGGAUUGCCCUAGUAACGGCGAGUGAAGCGGCAACAGCUCAAAUUUGAAAUCUGGCCCUUUCAGGGUCCGAGUUGUAAUUUGUAGAGGGCGCUUUGGUGUUGGCUGCGGUCUAAGUUCCUUGGAACAGGACGUCACAGAGGGUGAGAAUCCCGUACGUGGUCGACAGUCUCCACCGUGUAAAGCCCCUUCGACGAGUCGAGUUGUUUGGGAAUGCAGCUCUAAAUGGGAGGUAAAUUUCUUCUAAAGCUAAAUAUUGGCCAGAGACCGAUAGCGCACAAGUAGAGUGAUCGAAAGAUGAAAAGCACUUUGGAAAGAGAGUCAAAAAGCACGUGAAAUUGUUGAAAGGGAAGCGCUUGCAAUCAGACUUGCCUGUAGUUGCUCAUCUAGGCUUUUGCCUGGUGCACUCUUCUGCGGGCAGGCCAGCAUCAGUUCAGGCGGCUGGAUAAAGACCUCUAUCACGUAUCUUCCUUCGGGAUGACCUUAUAGGGGAGGUGUAAUGCAGCCAGCCUGGAUUGAGGUCCGCGCAUUCGCUAGGAUGCUGGCGUAAUGAUUGUAAGCGGCCCGU